GGAGGGGUGGCAGAGUGGUCUAAUGCGCUUGUCUUGAAAACAAGAGUGGGGCAACCCACCGUGAGUUCGAAUCUCACCCCCUCCGCCA
rnacentral:tRNA from 1 species